rnacentral:rRNA from 1 species
UACGGAGGGUGCAAGCGUUAUCCGGAUUUACUGGGUUUAAAGGGUGCGUAGGUGGGUUGGUAAGUCAGUGGUUAAAUACUUUCGCUUAACGAAGGAACUGCCAUUGAUACUACCAGUCUUGAAUACAGUGGAGGUAGGCGGAAUGCGUCAUGUAGCGGUGAAAUGCUUAGAUAUGACGCAGAACACCAAUUGCGAAGGCAGCUUGCUACACUGUUAUUGACACUGAGGCACGAAAGCGUGGGGAUCAAACAGG